CCUACGGGAGGCAGCAGUGAGGAAUUUUCCGCAAUGGGCGAAAGCCUGACGGAGCAAUGCCGCGUGGAGGAGGAAGGCCUGUGGGUCGUAAACUCCUUUUCUCAGAGAAGAAGUUCUGACGGUAUCUGAGGAAUAAGCAUCGGCUAACUCUGUGCCAGCAGCCGCGGUAAUGCAGGGGAUGCAAGCGUUAUCCGGAAUUAUUGGGCGUAAAGCGUCCUGAGGUGGCUUACCCAGUCGACUGUGAAAGCUCAAGGCUUAACCUUGAAACGGCAGUCGAAACUUGUAAGCUUGAGUACGGUAGGGGCAGAGGGAAUUCCCGGAGGAGAGGUGAAAUUCGUAGAUAUCGGGAGGAAGGCCAAAGGCGAAAGCACUCUGCUGGGCCGAUUACUGACACUGACAGACGAAAGCUAGGGGAGCGAAAGGGAUUAGAUACCCCUGUAGUCCUAGCCGUAAACGAUGGAUACUAAGUGUUGCGCGACUCAAAACGUGCAGUGCUGCNGCUACGACGGUAAGUAUCCGUCCGUCGGGAGGUAGUGCCGCCGACGGGUAGGAAACGUACGUAAACGGUAAAGUUAGUUACGGCGUGAGACGUAGCCGACGGACGACGACGAGGGAGGAGG
rnacentral:rRNA from 1 species